rnacentral:rRNA from 1 species
AAUAUACUAUUUUUAGUAGUAGAUAAAAUCAAAACUCGUAUACAAUGGCAGUCUCAUUAAUAUAGAGAAGCUCGCUUUAUAAUCGAUAAUUCUCGAUAAUUUUAACUUUUUUAAAAAGUUUAUAUACCGCCGUUUCAGAUUAUAUUUAAAUAUAAAAAUCAACACAUUCCUCCUCUAUAAAAAAUCAGGUCAAGGUGUAACUAAUAAAAAAGAAAAAGUAAGCUACAUUAAUUAACAAAUUAAGGAAAGAACAUGAAUAAUCCUCUAGAAAAAGAAUUUAUAAGUACAUUUAAAUUAAAAAUCUAAAUAGACAAACACUAUUGAGAUGC